CAGCAGCCGCGGGAAUACGUGGGUGGCGAGCGUUGUCCGGAUUUAUUGGGCGUAAAGGGAGUGUAGGCGGUCUUUUAAGUCUGAUGUGAAAGCCCACGGCUCAACCGUGGAGGGUCAUUGGAAACUGGGAGACUUGAGUGCAGAAGAGGAGAGCGGAAUUCCAUGUGUAGCGGUGAAAUGCGUAGAUAUAUGGAGGAACACCAGUGGCGAAGGCGGCUCUCUGGUCUGUAACUGACGCUGAGGCUCGAAAGCGUGGGGAGCAAACAGGAUUAGAUACCCCAGUAGUCCCUGUCUCUUAUAC
rnacentral:rRNA from 1 species